AGCGAACGCUGGCGGUAGGCCUAACACAUGCAAGUCGAACGACCUCUUCGGAGUUAGUGGCGGACGGGUGAGUAACAUGUGGGAACGUGCCUUUAGGCUCGGAAUAAUACAUGUUAAUUUGUGCUAAUACCGAAUGUGUUCUUCGGGGGAAAGAUUUAUCGUCUUUAGAGCGGCCCGCGUCUGACUAGCUAGUUGGUGAGGUAAAGGCCCACCAAGGCUACGAUCAGUAGCUGGUCUGAGAGGAUGGUCAGCCACACUGGGACUCAGACGCGGCACAAACUACUACGGGAGGCAGCAGUGGGGGAUCUUGCGAAAUGGGCGGAAGCAUGACGCAGCCAUGCCGCGUGAAUGAUGAAGGUCUUAGGGAAGUAAAAUUCUUUCACCGGGGGCGAUAAUGACGGUACCCAAAGAAGAAGCCCCGGCUAACUUCGUG
rnacentral:rRNA from 1 species